rnacentral:rRNA from 1 species
AACGAACGCUGGCGGCAGGCUUAACACAUGCAAGUCGAACGCAUCGCAAGAUGAGUGGCAGACGGGUGAGUAACGCGUGGGAACAUACCCUUUUCUACGGAAUAGCUCUGGGAAACUGGAACUAAUACCGUAUACGCCCUUUACUGGUGGACAGUUUAGGGGAAAGAUUUAUCGGGGAAGGAUUGGCCCGCGUUGGAUUAGCUAGUUGGUGGGGUAACGGCCUACCAAGGCGACGAUCCAUAGCUGGUCUGAGAGGAUGAUCAGCCACAUUGGGACUGAGACACGGCCCAAACUCCUACGGGAGGCAGCAGUGGGGAAUAUUGGACAAUGGGCGCAAGCCCGAUCCAGCCAUGCCGCGUGAGUGAUGAAGGCCUUAGGGUUGUAAAGCUCUUUCACCGAUGAAGAUAAUGACGGUAGUCGGAGAAGAAGCCCCGGCUAACUUCGUGCCAGCCGCCGCCGUAA